rnacentral:rRNA from 2 species
AGAGUUUGAUCCUGGCUCAGAUUGAACGCUGGCGGCAGGCCUAACACAUGCAAGUCGAGCGGUAGCACAGAGAGCUUGCUCUCGGGUGACGAGCGGCGGACGGGUGAGUAAUGUCUGGGAAACUGCCUGAUGGAGGGGGAUAACUACUGGAAACGGUAGCUAAUACCGCAUAAUGUCGCAAGACCAAAGUGGGGGACCUUCGGGCCUCAUGCCAUCAGAUGUGCCCAGAUGGGAUUAGCUAGUAGGUGGGGUAAUGGCUCACCUAGGCGACGAUCCCUAGCUGGUCUGAGAGGAUGACCAGCCACACUGGAACUGAGACACGGUCCAGACUCCUACGGGAGGCAGCAGUGGGGAAUAUUGCACAAUGGGCGCAAGCCUGAUGCAACCAUGCCGCGUGUGUGAAGAAGGCCUUCGGGUUGUAAAGCACUUUCAGCGGGGAGGAAGGCGUUAAGGUUAAUAACCUCAUCGAUUGACGUUACCCGCAGAAGAAGCACCGGCUAACUCCGUGCCAGCAGCCGCGGUAAUACGGAGGGUGCAAGCGUUAAUCGGAAUUACUGGGCGUAAAGCGCACGCAGGCGGUCUGUCAAGUCGGAUGUGAAAUCCCCGGGCUCAACCUGGGAACUGCANUCGAAACUGGCAGGCUAGAGUCUUGUAGAGGGGGGUAGAAUUCCAGGUGUAGCGGUGAAAUGCGUAGAGAUCUGGAGGAAUACCGGUGGCGAAGGCGGCCCCCUGGACAAAGACUGACGCUCAGGUGCGAAAGCGUGGGNGAGCAAACAGGAUUAGAUACCCUGGUAGUCCACGCCGUAAACGAUGUCGAUUUGGAGGUUGUGCCCUUGAGGCGUGGCUUCCGGAGCUAACGCGUUAAAUCGACCGCCUGGGGAGUACGGCCGCAAGGUUANAACUCANAUGAAUUGACGGGGGCCCGCACAAGCGGUGGAGCAUGUGGUUUAAUUCGAUGCAACGCGAAGAACCUUACCUGGUCUUGACAUCCACAGAACUUUCCAGAGAUGGAUUGGUGCCUUCGGGAACUGUGAGACAGGUGCUGCAUGGCUGUCGUCAGCUCGUGUUGUGAAAUGUUGGGUUAAGUCCCGCAACGAGCGCAACCCUUAUCCUUUGUUGCCAGCGGUCCGGCCGGGAACUCAAAGGAGACUGCCAGUGAUAAACUGGAGGAAGGUGGGGAUGACGUCAAGUCAUCAUGGCCCUUACGACCAGGGCUACACACGUGCUACAAUGGCAUAUACAAAGAGAAGCGACCUCGCGAGAGCAAGCGGACCUCAUAAAGUAUGUCGUAGUCCGGAUUGGAGUCUGCAACUCGACUCCAUGAAGUCGGAAUCGCUAGUAAUCGUAGAUCAGAAUGCUACGGUGAAUACGUUCCCGGGCCUUGUACACACCGCCCGUCACACCAUGGGAGUGGGUUGCAAAAGAAGUAGGUAGCUUAACCUUCGGGAGGGCGCUUACCACUUUGUGAUUCAUGACUGGGGUGAAGUCGUAACAAGGUAACCGUA